GUGACUCUGUUCAACGGCCUCGGUAUCCUGACCGAGCGAAGGUAGCAUAAUAACUUGUUCUUUAAAUAGGGACUUGCAUCAACGGCAUCACGAGGGUUAGACGUCUCCUCCCUCUGAUCAGUGAACCUGACCUCUUCGUGAAGAGGCGAAGAUUCGACUAUAAGACGAGAAGACCCCAUGGAGCUUAAAAUAUAGAAACACUUUCUUUCUACACACCCUAAAAAACAAGAAAGUUUGUUAGCUAAUUUUUGGCUGGGGUGCCCGAGGAGAACAACCUAUCCUCCCUGAUGACCACUAUCCAAGAGUGACAACUCAAAGAAACAGCAAACUGACAUAACAUGACCCGAUAUAACUAUCGAUCAACGAACCAAGUUACCCUGGGGAUAACAGCGCAAUCCAUUUCAAGAGCCCCUAUCGACAAAUGGGUUUACGACCUCGAUGUUGGAUCAGGGUAUCCUAGUGGUGCAGCAGCUACUAACGGUUCGUUUGUUCAACGAUUAAAACCCUACGUGAUCUGAGUUCAAACCGGA
rnacentral:rRNA from 1 species